GAUGAACGCUGGCGGCGUGCCUAAUACAUGCAAGUCGAGCGAACAGACGAGGAGCUUGCUCCUCUGACGUUAGCGGCGGACGGGUGAGUAACACGUGGAUAACCUACCUAUAAGACUGGGAUAACUUCGGGAAACCGGAGCUAAUACCGGAUAAUAUAUUGAACCGCAUGGUUCAAUAGUGGAAGACGGUUUUGCUGUCACUUAUAGAUGGAUCCGCGCCGCAUUAGCUAGUUGGUAAGGUAACGGCUUACCAAGGCAACGAUGCGUAGCCGACCUGAGAGGGUGAUCGGCCACACUGGAACUGAGACACGGUCCAGACUCCUACGGGAGGCAGCAGUAGGGAAUCUUCCGCAAUGGGCGGAAGCCUGACGGAGCAACGCCGCGUGAGUGAUGAAGGUCUUCGGAUCGUAAAACUCUGUUAUUAGGGAAGAACAAAUGUGUAAGUAACUAUGCACGUCUUGACGGUACCUAAUCAGAAAGCCACGGCUAACUACGUG
rnacentral:rRNA from 1 species